UGGACGUGGGGUGUUCGCCAGUGGCUGUUCAGCUCACAUGGCCUUCAGCAUCUGGAAGACAUGGAGCGGAGCCACAUCAGAUUCUGCAAGUCCACCACGAUCCUGGGGAAACAAAUGCGGUACUUAGUGAAACCUGGGAGCCCCAGGGCAGACCAGCUCCGUUAACUGCGCCAGCUGGGCCACCGAGAUGAAAUCCCAUACAGAGACUUGGGAGUUUCCAGGAUAGCAGAUUGGGGCCAGAGGGGUCCUGAAGCAGGCUUAUCUGCAAAAAGUAUGAGCUCAAAACCCUGACCCUCGCCUUCUCACUUGAACACAUCGGGAUCGAUGGUGGCGCCAACAACCCGUGCAGCCUCGCAGAGCUCCGUCUCCAACGUUCCCAGCACCUUCUUCCACCAAAGAGCCAAUUUCUGCACUGUGGAAUCCUUCAGGCGUGUGGAUGUUCCCAGUCCAGCACCACUACCAGUUGCCACCAUUUGUGCAGCCUGAAAAAAGGGAGCUUUGAGCCCAGGCCGCCAGAGAUUUCACAGCACUUCCUACUGGCCACCUGUUUCCUUGAAAGGUCACCACAGCCCAGACAGGCAGCUCCAGCACCGAGGACAGUUCUCCACCAAGAAUUGAAGGCCACCUAACAAAAAUUCCAAUACCAGUCACGUGAAGCACUCUUUUCAGUUGUUGGCCAGAGUUGUCAAGAGACUCCUAAAACAUACAACCUACUGAUGUUGCCCUUUAUAACACCCUAGAGAGAUUUCCCAAGGAGCACAUGCAUUGCAAGCCCACUGACACUGGAUGAACAUUCGUCUUCCCCUUCAUUUUUGCCAGCACUUUUUGUCAACUAUAUUGUGAGUUUCGGG